rnacentral:rRNA from 1 species
GAUGAACGCUGGCGGCGUGCCUAAUACAUGCAAGUCGAGCGAACGGACGAGAAGCUUGCUUCUCUGACGUUAGCGGCGGACGGGUGAGUAACACGUGGAUAACCUACCUAUAAGACUGGGAUAACUUCGGGAAACCGGAGCUAAUACCGGAUAAUAUAUUGAACCGCAUGGUUCAAUAGUGAAAGACGGUCUUGCUGUCACUUAUAGAUGGAUCCGCGCUGCAUUAGCUAGUUGGUAAGGUAACGGCUUACCAAGGCAACGAUGCGUAGCCGACCUGAGAAGGUGAUCGGCCACACUGGAACUGAGACACGGUCCAGACUCCUACGGGAGGCAGCAGUAGGGAAUCUUCCGCAAUGGGCGAAAGCCUGACGGAGCAACGCCGCGUGAGUGAUGAAGGUCUUCGGAUCGUAAAACUCUGUUAUUAGGGAAGAACAUAUGUGUAAGUAACUGUGCACAUCUUGACGGUACCUAAUCAGAAAGCCACGGCUAACUACGUG